UACGGAGGGUCCGAGCGUUAAUCGGAAUUACUGGGCGUAAAGCGUACGUAGGUGGUUUGUUAAGUUGGAUGUGAAAGCCCCGGGCUCAACCUGGGAACUGCAUUCAAAACUGGCGAACUAGAGUAUGGUAGAGGUAAGUGGAAUUUCCUGUGUAGCGGUGAAAUGCGUAGAGAUGGGAAGGAACACCAGUGGCGAAGGCGACUUACUGGACUAAUACUGACACUGAGGUACGAAAGCGUGGGUAGCAAACAGG
rnacentral:rRNA from 1 species